rnacentral:rRNA from 1 species
GACUCCUACGGGAGGCAGCAGUGGGGAAUAUUGGACAAUGGGCGCAAGCCUGAUCCAGCAAUGCCGCGUGUGUGAAGAAGGCCUUCGGGUUGUAAAGCACUUUUAUCAGGAGCGAAAUACGAUGGGCUAAUACCCCAUCGGGCUGACGGUACCUGAGGAAUAAGCACCGGCUAACUUCGUGCCAGCAGCCGCGGUAAUACGAAGGGUGCAAGCGUUAAUCGGAAUUACUGGGCGUAAAGCGUGCGUAGGCGGUGAUUUAAGUCUGCUGUGAAAUCCCCGGGCUCAACCUGGGAAUGGCAGUGGAUACUGGAUCGCUAGAGUGUGAUAGAGGAUGGUGGAAUUCCCGGUGUAGCGGUGAAAUGCGUAGAGAUCGGGAGGAACAUCAGUGGCGAAGGCGGCCAUCUGGAUCAACACUGACGCUGAGGCACGAAAGCGUGGGGAGCAAACAGGAUUAGAUACCCUGGUAGUCCACGCCCUAAACGAUGCGAACUGGAUGUUGGUCUCAACUCGGAGAUCAGUGUCGAAGCUAACGCGUUAAGUUCGCCGCCUGGGGAGUACGGUCGCAAGACUGAAACUCAAAUGAAUUGACGGGG